rnacentral:lncRNA from 1 species
UCAUGUUUCCUUGCUUGGAGCGGCUGGAGAUUACGAGGUGUCCCUUGUUGAAAAGUGUUCCACUAACGGGACAAUGCUCAUCUCUUCAAAAGCUUCACAUUUCCAGUUGUGAAAAAUUAAGCAAGAUUGGAGAUGGAUUAUCUACCUCCACUUGUCUCAAAAAAUUACAUCUAGGCAAUUGUCCUGAUUUAAGUUCGAUCCCAAAUUUGGAAGGAUUUUCCUCUCUUCAAGAUCUGUCAGUUUGUGGGUGCCUCAAAUUGGAAGUUCUUCCAAUAACUGGAGGAUGUUCAUCUCUUGAAGAGCUGGAGAUUACGAGGUGUCCCUUGUUGAAAAGUGUUCCACUAACGGGACAAUGCUCAUCUCUUCAAAAGCUUCACAUUUGGGAUUGUGAAAAAUUAAGCAAGAUUGGAGAUGGAUUAUCUACCUCCACUUGUCUCAAAAAAUUACAUCUAGGCAAUUGUCCUGAUUUAAGUUCGAUCCCAAAUUUGGAAGGAUUUUCCUCUCUUCAAGAUCUGUCAGUUUGGGGGUGCCUCAAAUUGGAAGUUCUUCCAAUAACGGGACAAUGUUAUUCUCUUGAAAAGCUUCGCAUUUGCGAUUGUGAAAAAUUAAGCAAGAUUGGAGAUGGAUUAUCUACCUCCACUUGUCUCAAAAAAUUAAAUCUAAUCAUUUGUCCUGAUUUAAGUUCGAUCCCAAAUUUGGAAGGAUUUUCCUCUCUUCAAUAUCUGUCAGUUCGAUGUUGCAAGAAAUUGGAAGUUCUUCCAAUAACCGGAGGAUGUUCAUCUCUUGAAAAGCUUCGCAUUUCCAGUUGUGAAAAAUUAAGCAAGAUUGGAGAUGGAUUAUCUAC